UGAGCAGUCAAGUGCUUGCGAGGUCAUCUUAGCAUAGAUAACCAGAUUUCAGGGGAGGUGCCUUGCUCUAUUGCAGCAAGUGCUUGAGGAAUUACCACCUUGUCACAUCUCUGUUGAGAUCUGAGUUUGCAAACCAGCCAUAGUAUAAGCAAUAAUCCACAACACAGGGCUGUGCCAAACAGGCCCACUCCCACCCAUUCCUUAAAAUAUGAGAAUGCAGGGGACAUCCAGGAAGUAAGUCAUUUGAUUCCAUUAAUCAAUGAUGGGUCCACAGGCAUGGAAUUAAUCGCCAUCACUGCUACACAUAGCAGCUCAAGCUUUUCAUCAAAUCCUUCAGACCAGUUUCCUGUAAGAAACAAAGACAAUUCUUUAGAUAGAUUAGCUGCACACGUCCAAUUUUCAUAUUGGACACUAGUAAUACAUAAGGCUCCUGAUUUCUUAUCACAGCCAAGCUGGGCCAUUUGGAGCAGAACUUCCAGCCUCUCCUCCACCAGAUCAAUGCGCUGGUUCACUAUCAUUAGCCCACCUUUUAAUUGGGCACUGAGCACUGAAUGUUGAUCGAUCACAUUUGCCACAGAGGAGGACAACUGCUCGAUAGUCGUGCUUGACUGGACUGAUGUUGCCAUAGCAAAUCCAGCAGCCAUAGCUGCAGUGAUACCAAAGUCUUGCUUUUGCCUGAACAAAGAUACGGUGGAAGGGGUCUCCACGGGGCCAGGAAUCCAUCAUGGAAUCUUGGAAAGCAUUGCACGGCUGGCCCAAUCAAGGUUCCAGCAUUGUGACAUCCCGCAGGUUUCAUUAGUACAGGAUUCAAAGGAACC
rnacentral:lncRNA from 1 species